AGCUCGUGUCGUGAGAUGUUCGGUUAAGUCCGCUAACGAGCGCAACCCGCGUUUGUGUGUUACAAGUGUCACACAAUACCGCCGGUAUUAAGUCGGAGGAAGGUGCGGAUGACGUCAAGUCAGCAUGACCUUUAUAUCCAGGGCUACACACACGCUACAAUGGUCGGCACAAUAGGUUGCCAAGUCGUGAGACGGAGCCAAUCCUCCAAAGCCGGCCUCAGUUCAGAUUGCAGGCUGCAACUCGCCUGCAUGAAGUUGGAGUUGCUAGUAAACGCAGGUCAGCUAUACUGCGUUGAAUACGUUCCCGGGGAUU
rnacentral:rRNA from 1 species